UGACAAUGGUCUGUUUCUCACUGUCUUUCUGUAUGUUGACCAGAUGCAGUCUCAGGAGUAUCCAACAUCUUUUCAUUCUGGGGCUCAGAGAGUCGAGAGAAGCAGAGAUAUAAGGAGGUGCCCUGCUCCCACAGCCUCCUUGACCCUCUUCCUCAGUCUGCCUCCCAGCAGCUCCCAGAAGUUCCCUUGGCUUCCCACUGUCCCUCUAGCCCUCCUAAUCUCCAUCCUCCUCCACCUGUUUUGUCUUGGAGGCAGAAGGAUGCAUUAGAGAAAAGGCUGGAGGUACUGCAGGGACAUAUUACCAGGCUGGAGUCUCGAAUAUCAGCAGACAUCGGUAUCAUCAUGCAGCUACUGCAAAGGCAGAUACCAAUGAUCCCACCUUCCUACAGCACCCUGACAUCCACACCUAACACACCCUCCACCCUCAUCAUGUGUCCCACUGCUGCCUCUCUCACAGACAAGUCCUCAUCCAAAAACCCCCAGCAGCAACUGUCUGAUGAAGUCCUUCAACAACUUCCAGAAUAUGAAUCCCUCCAUUGUGAUUCCACUGUCCUCCAUUUUACAAGCACAACCCUCUCAUCAAUGCCUCACUGAAUACUUCUUGAUAUCAGUCACUGAUUUCUUCAUCCAACUUACCCCAGUGCACCUCCACCUUUCCAACCUUGCCUCAAUUGUCGAAACAGUCUUCCUCCUUUGUCCCUCCUCAUACAGAAAAUCCUAGUGUGUCAUCCUUUCAUGCAUCGUCCCUACCCUCACACCUCACCCCCCUAAUUCUCCAGCUCCCAGAGCAGAUUAAACAACUGACCCUUUCCUCCAGGAAACAGGGAUUACUCUCCGCCUUACAGGUAAUGUAACACUUUUAGCAGCAUAACAAAUGACACGUUUGAGCUACACUUCUUGAGAAUGCGCCAUUGUUGUUUGCGAAAUGGACGUUUGCUUCUCGUGCUGGCUGUCACACCUAAUAGGGGGGCGAUACCCCCAAUUUGGUUUCGAUCUGAUACAAAGUACCUUGAGGCUAAUAUCCCCGAUAUGAUAC
rnacentral:lncRNA from 1 species